GGGUAACCUACCCUGUACACACGGAUAACAUACCGAAAGGUAUGCUAAUACGGGAUAAUAUAUUUGAGAGGCAUCUCUUAAAUAUCAAAGGUGAGCCAGUACAGGAUGGACCCGCGUCUGAUUAGCUCGUUGGUAAGGUAACGGCUUACCAAGGCGACGAUCAGUAGCCGACCUGAGAGGGUGAUCGGCCACAUUGGAACUGAGACA
rnacentral:rRNA from 1 species